rnacentral:tRNA from 1 species
GAGAAAUGGUUCAGUGGUUAAGAACGCUGAUUGCUCUUCCAGAGACCUGGGUUCAAUUCCCAGACUCA